UACGUAGGGUGCGAGCGUUGUCCGGAAUUAUUGGGCGUAAAGAGCUCGUAGGCGGUUUGUCGCGUCGGCCGUGAAAACUUGGGGCUUAACUCCAGCUUGCGGUCGAUACGGGCAGACUUGAGUUCGGCAGGGGAGACUGGAAUUCCUGGUGUAGCGGUGAAAUGCGCAGAUAUCAGGAGGAACACCGGUGGCGAAGGCGGUUCUCUGGGCAUGUCCUGACGCUGAGGAGCGAAAGUGUGGGGAGCGAACAGG
rnacentral:rRNA from 1 species